CAGCCGCCACGGUAAUACAGAGGGUGCGAGCGUUAAUCGGAUUUACUGGGCGUAAAGCGUGCGUAGGCGGCUUUUUAAGUCGGAUGUGAAAUCCCUGAGAUUAACUUAGGAAUUGCAUUCGAUACUGGGAAGCUAGAGUAUGGGAGAGGAUGGUAGAAUUCCAGGUGUAGCGGUGAAAUGCGUAGAGAUCUGGAGGAAUACCGAUGGCGAAGGCAGCCAUCUGGCCUAAUACUGACGCUGAGGUACGAAAGCAUGGGGAGCAAACAGGAUUAGAUACCCGCGUAGUCCCUGUCUCUUAUAA
rnacentral:rRNA from 1 species